UAACCAAAGUACCCCAGCCUGAUGCAGCCAUGCCGCGUGUAUGAAGAAGGCCUUCGGGUUGUAAAGUACUUUCAGCGGGGAGGAAGGGAGUAAAGUUAAUACCUUUGCUCAUUGACGUUACCCGCAGAAGAAGCACCGGCUAACUCCGUGCCAGCAGCCGCGGUAAUACUC
rnacentral:rRNA from 1 species